UACGCAGGGUGCGAGCGUUGUCCGGAAUUACUGGGCGUAAAGAGCUCGUAGGUGGUUUGUCGCGUUGUUCGUGAAAACUCACAGCUCAACUGUGGGCGUGCGGGCGAUACGGGCAGACUGGAGUACUGCAGGGGAGACUGGAAUUCCUGGUGUAGCGGUGGAAUGCGCAGAUAUCAGGAGGAACACCGGUGGCGAAGGCGGGUCUCUGGGCAGUAACUGACGCUGAGGAGCGAAAGCGUGGGGAGCGAACAGG
rnacentral:rRNA from 1 species